rnacentral:rRNA from 1 species
CUACGAGGGGUGCAAACAUUAUUCGGAAUCACUGGGCGUAAAGGGUGCGUAGACGGUAAAGUAAGUCAGUUAUGAAAUCUCCUAGCUUAACUAGGAACCUGUAGCUGAAACUGCAUUACUAGAGGAUGGAAGAGAGAAGUGGAAUUCUCGGAGUAGCGGUAAAAUGCGUAGAUCUCGAGAGGAACACCGAUGGCGAAGGCAGCUUCUUGGUCCAUUUCUGACGUUGAGGCACGAAAGCGUGGGGAGCAAACAGGAUUAGAUACCCGAGUAGUCC